AGUGGCGGACGGGUGAGGAACACGUGGGAACAUGCCGAAUGGUGGGGGAUAACUGCGGGAAACUGCAGCUAAUACCGCAUAAGCCCUGAGGGGGAAAGAUUUAUCGCCAUUCGAUUGGCCCGCGGCAGAUUAGGUAGUUGGUAGGGUAAAGGCCUACCAAGCCGAUGAUCUGUAACUGGUCUGAGAGGAUGACCAGUCACACUGGGGCUGAGACACGGCCCAGACUCCUACGGGAGGCAGCAGUGGGGAAUAUUGGACAAUGGGGGAAACCCUGAUCCAGCAAUGCCGCGUGAGUGAAGAAGGCCUUCGGGUUGUAAAGCUCUUUUGCCUGUGACGAUGAUGACAGUAACAGGAGAAUAAGCCCCGGCUAACUCCGUGCCAGCAGCCGCGGUAAGACGGAGGGGGCUAGCGUUGUUCGGAAUGACUGGGCGUAAAGGGCGCGUAGGCGGCAAAUCAAGUCAGGUGUGAAAGCCUUGGGCUCAACCCAAGAAUUGCGCUUGAUACUGGUUAGCUAGAGGAUGGAAGAGAAAAGCGGAAUUCCUAGUGUAGAGGUGAAAUUCGUAGAUAUUAGGAAGUACACCAGAGGCGAAGGCGGCUUUUUGGUCCAUAU
rnacentral:rRNA from 1 species